UAUGUUCGUCCCAGGAUACUAGAGAGACAAGAUGGGUGUGGUAAUAUCUUUAAUGGACCUACUUCUGUUGGUGAGAGAGAUAAGCUUCCGAGUUUACACAGAGCUCUUCUUCAGGUUGUGACUGUUAUUGUUCUACUGAACUUAGCCCAUUUUAAGUUUUAUUUAAAACAAAAGUUGAAGAGUUUAGUAAACUACAAUUAGAAUCUACAGAAGCCAGAAUGGAAAUGAGCUUGAACAGAAAUCCAAAUCAGCAACGAAAUGGCAAAAAAUGAAUGAACUGUUCAGAAAGGAAUCUAAAUACUUUACGUAACACUCAUGCCCACAGCCCUUGGAAGCCUAAGGCAAAUUGCGUCCUCCAUGAAGAGGAUACUAGAUAAAAAAACCCACCAGAAAAGAAAGAAAAACUGGAAAAGUCAGAUCAGCUGGGGCUGCUCCCAACACAUGUUUUUUUCUGAUGUCAUGACAACGAUUCUUGUGCUUUCCCCUUCACAGCAGCAUGGAUCAGAGCCACCUAAAUAUUUGUCAAUAUGUAAUUCUGGGUGACCUUCAUUAUCGUUUCAAUGGAACAACAAGAUGUUGAAGGUUA